UACGUAGGGCGCAAGCGUUGUCCGGAAUUAUUGGGCGUAAAGAGCUCGUAGGCGGCCUGUCGCGUCUGCUGUGAAAUCCCGGGGCUUAACCCCGGGCGUGCAGUGGAUACGGGCUGGCUGGAGGCAGGCAGGGGAGAACGGAAUUCCCGGUGUAGCGGUGGAAUGCGCAGAUAUCAGGAGGAACACCGAUGGCGAAGGCAGAUCUCUGGGCCGUAACUGACGCUGAGGAGCGAAAGCAUGGGGAGCGAACAGG
rnacentral:rRNA from 1 species